rnacentral:lncRNA from 1 species
GUUCCUAGCAAAACUGUAUCCUUGAACCCCACCUCAAGAUGGCGCCCCAACCCUAGCCACCGCUCACUUUCUCCUUGGCUGCCUGGCGGGUCUUCUCAUCCAUCCAAACCAGCUGUCCCAGGGCCUCCUCAAAUGCGGUCCGGAUUUCGCUGAUCAUCCCCUCUGCCUGGGAGGGAGGAGGUAAAGUCAGCCUUCCCCUGCACUGAAUGCAUCCCUGCCCCACCCAUCCACCCUUGGUGCCCCAUCCCUGUCCACCCAGGGGAAAUGGGAACGUCUAGACUAAAGAAAUACGGCUGAGCACCUGGAGACGAUGAGAAGGAAACACCAUUUGUAAAGUUGGACAUUUAACCUGUUCUCAUUUUCUGCUAUUAUAAACAACAUUGCCAUAAAAACCAUAAACAUCCUUACAGGUAAUACUUUAAGCACAUCCAUUAUCAUAUCCUAAUAAAUAAAUAUUUCUUCUAGUUAUAUAGUUAAACAUAAACAC